AUUACAUAUAAGUGAACACAGCAAACAAAAACAAAGCCUCCACAAUCCACAUCAGAUUCACCACCAUUUAGAAUAACACAAACUGUAAUUUAACAUAAUACAUAUUGAAGAAAACACAACUUUUUAAUCUAAUAAUUAUCUCUUACUCUCUUCUUUUUUUAUUUCAUCAAAAAAUAUGACGUGACCUCGCCAGAACAGAAAAUGCUACUACCUGGAGGGACGUUGGAAGCUAGCAUUAUACAGAAAUUUAAACUUCUUUUAGUAUGCUCACUGGAUGAAGAAUGAACUGCUUGUGCCAAGACAAAGCAUCAUCACUGUCACUUGGUCUAACACCUUUAAAACUUCGCAUUUUUGCUGAUUCACAUGAUACACGCAUAUUUUACAUGGUUAAACCUACAGGUUAAGCUAGCAUUAACUACAACUGUCAACAGCUGGCUACAGCAGUCUGACAUGGACAAAAGAGGCAACGAUUGAGUUGUAGGCUGCUGAUGGACAGUUCCUGGUGCUGAAACGUCACAGAAACCAACGGUUAGACAGAGAUUAAGCUGCAUCUUUAUAAUGUGGUCCUGAGAGGGAAAACCUCAUAUAUGGACCAGAAGGAGGAGAAAUUGAAGGAAAAAAUAAAUAUAUAAACUCUAAGUCAAAACGGCAGAUUAUAGGGCAUUUCUUCCUCUACAUUUCAAUCUUUUUUUUUUUUUUCUCAGAGAUGUAUUUUUCUUACAAAAUUCAAAAGUCACUCUGAGUUAUGGAUGCUUUGAAUUCUGUGCAUAGUGGUUGUUGUAGACUUAAAUAAUUUGACCUAGAUUGGCCUCAAUUUUGUUUAUUUUUUAGUUCCUCAGAAAUUUUUGAGGUGAGAAAAAGUCUUUACUUAUUGAUCGGCACUUUGCAAACAUUUUUUAAAUGGGCAACAGCCACCAUGUGCUGAAUGGACCUUAAUUUUUUUUUUUUUUUUUUUCCAGAAAAAGUUACAGUCACAUUAUUUAAUAUAAAUUAACAAUUAUUCGUUAUUCCAAAACACGACCAAUCUCUGAUUAAAACACUAGACCUUCUACAAGAAGUUUUAAAAGGCCUUAUUUCAUGACUGCAGUUUGUUCAUUUCAAAAAGUUUUAUAUGGCUUUCUGUGCAAAACCAGGCUAAUAAAACACACAGUCUUUAUGACUAUGAAUAUAAUACGGAUGUCUACUCAUAAAAGGAAGAAGCAAAGAUAUACAUACAUUAAUUGGAUGGCCAUAUAUGAAGGUAAAGUUUAGUUGUGCGGUAGAAGGAUGAAUCAGUGAUUACAUCUGAGUCCUGUUUGACAAAAAAUUCAGCAAAAGCAGUUGAUUAUAACUCAUACAGGGAGGUAGAUUGAGUUAUCUGUGCUGCUGGUGUCUGGGAAAUCCAUCAGCGAGAUGUUAAACUGAAAUGCUUUCCUGCUCACCCCUCCCAUCUAUGCAGCUACAGUGGCCUUUAAGGGACUGCAAACUCCUGUGACACAUGAGUAUUAACCUCCUUUAGUCUAAGUUUUACCACCAAAAACUUCAUAUACAUUCUUUUGCACACAACAAAGGCCACUCACUUCAUGCAAAAGCAUUUUUAUGACGAGUUUGUCCCUUCUGUGCUACUGUAAACAAGGCAGAGAAAGAUGGCAGCCUCCUUGUAAGGGUCACACUGAAAUGGAGAUUAUUCUAAGUUAAAAAGGGGUAGUUUUUAGAGUUAGGUAGUCAUAUACAAAUUUAAACAAACAUAUAAAUAUUAUUUUUCAUUUCUUCCAAGUAUGGAAAAAAUGAGUAUUUUAGAAUUUACACAUGUACUUCACCUGAAAAGCUUGAAUUUAUUAUUAAAUAUCUUCAAUAUCUAAGCAAUCAUUUAUUACUAUGUCAAGCUUAAGUUUACUUUUAAAUGAACCUUAAAAAUCCUGUGUCUACCAUGCAGGGAACCCAAAAUAUUUUAUUUAAAGUGUCUAAACUGGGACAAAUCUGGGGUGUCCCUGAAGACCAGUUUCCCAAAACAGUUAGGAUUAAUUUUACCACCAACAGUGUGCUAUUCUGGGAUUGAUUAAUAGCAAACAUAAUAUGGUAAAGGGCUAGACAGGUAAAUCAUGAUCUUGGAACGGAAAUUUAUUAAACAAGUCUAGGUCAACUUUUAACACUCCAGAAAACUUCUUCGAAGGACAAAAACUCAGAACUUAAAGUAAAAUGCUUCAGUUUUAGGUCAAUGUAAAAAUUCCAGGACAAGUCUAAAGCCUGUAAGGUGUAACUAUUCAACAUACACCAUAGAUCAAACUUCACCUCAAGGAGAUGAUCAUGUCAUGCACUAAAGUCUCCAAACUGUCAUAUAUUGGGCAUUACUUAUUUUCACGACGAAAUCAAAUAUCUUUAAGUUUAGUCUAUGCUCUUGGUAUUAGGGAGGGCACAAGAGCAGUUAUGGCCAAAAUCUAUUGCUAUGAUGUUAGUUUAUCCUUCUCAUAAGUCUCCACCAAUUAGCAGCAAUAGAGUUUUAGUUGUUUAUUUUUAAAGAGAGUUAAAAUGACAGCGCCCUCUUUUGGCUCAUACGGCAAGCUCCUUCAUGCCAACUGAUGCACUGUAUUAUUAUGAGAUUGGACAUCUCAUUACAGUGCAAGUAUAACCUUUCCCCUCAGAGUGUGAAAGAAAGGUUUGAAUUUCAGAUAAAAGUGACAGCCCUAUUCAGCACUUGCCAAAUGGCUCACAACUGAUUGCAGACUUGUCCACAUUGUGGAAAACCCAUGAUUGUUAUAUGCCUUACUGUAUGAGAAUUAUAAUUUCAAGCAUGCAAGACCUGUAUGAAACAGAGGACGCAACCAAACUGGAACUCCUGUAAAGUGCAAAUACUGUUGCAUUUACUUGGGAUCACUGAACGACUGUAAUCAAAAUGAUGCCAUAUUAGCGCUGACUGAACAUAUUGUACAUGCACUCCUGCAUAUUUCGUUAUUCGUAAUAUAGUUAUCCUUUGAAAUAAUAAAAAGUAAACUCUAUAUUUCACGGAAAACAAGCUCUGAAGAUGUCUCUUCCUCUGUUAUGGUUUCAGACCACACUGGUGUUGCAGUGAAACACUUCUAUCUAUUAUAAAUCAAAUAGUCAGGACAACAAACUGCAUUUCAUUGCAUUAAUUUAAAUCCCAAAUCAAGGCAUUGAUAAGAACAGUUUGCAAAAAUAAUGAAACUUCAAACAUGUUAUUGACUGAGGUUAAUCAAUGAAAGUCUACUAUGUAUUACUUGUUAGUAAUUUUUCAGUUAUUACUGCAAACAUUCACAGAGAGUGACAUGUUUGACCACUUACACAUGUACAGACCAAGAUCAACAAAGAGAGAAGUUGUGACUCUGUUCACAGAGGGCACCAGAAUCAACCCAGACAGUUCCUCACAGGAGCUUUAAACAGAGAUCCCCCAUUUUGUCACUUCCCCCUCCCCACACAGUUUGACACGACUCAACUUUGAAAAUGAAAGAAUUUAACUACGGGCUGAAAAUGAGUCAUUACCUUUGACAAAGUGGUCACUGCACAUACGGGCAUUAUCCGACGCAGCUCCUCCAAACCGUAGGCCAGUUGUUCUCAAGUGCAGUCCUCUAGCCCCCCCGUCCUGCAUGUUUUGGAUGUUUCCCUGCUCCAACACACCUGAUUCAAAUGAUCAGCUCGUUAUCAAGCUCUGAAAUGGCUUAAUAACGAGCUGAUCAUUUAAAUCAGGUGUGUUGAAGCAGGGAAACAUCCAAAACAUGCAGGACAGGGGGCUAGAGGACCGGACUUGAGAACCACUGCCGUAGGCGGAGAUUAAAAAGCCCAUUUUUCAGUCACUAUCUUACAUCUUUCCCCUUUGUGUAACACUACUUUGGGCACACGAUAAAAGCUCUUGUUUUUUUCCCUGUUCGAUCGAUUCGAGCAGCCGUAAACUGAGCAAAACAUCGGCAUGUAUGUAUGCUCUGUAUAGCAGCAACUCACUUCCUGCCCUCCAUCUGUGUUUUGCGUGUGCCGCGUUACACGGAAGUGACGUCAAGUGAAAACCUCCUAUAGCAGGUCAAAUGAAGGAACCCCUUAUGGGUGAAUUUGGGGUCAACAUAACUACAAGGUCUGCUUGAGAUUUAAAUAAACUGAACUCUUUAUGCUUAUCUAAGGCACUUGAAGUUGUUUUAAAUGACAUAUUUCUUGUGCAUGUCUUGCAUUAUGUAGUCUGAUGUGUGUAGGCCGAAGGUGUCGUACAUAAAAUAGACACAAAUUUUAAAAAAGUUGAGUUACUCACUCCCAAAUCUUUGAGACAUACGCUCAAUCACAUAAGAGAAGUUUGCACACAUUCUUACAACUUCUUUCCUGAGUUAUAAGUAAGAGGGAAGGGAGUGACUGAAUGUAGAGAGGGAGUGAAAAAGUAAAAGAAGAAGGGAAACCCAGAGCUGCAGGAGGGAUGGAGGGAGCAUUGGAGAGGGAUGCUGUGGAGGUUACAGAGGCGUUGAUGCUGCCGAGUGGAAUCCAGCUUGAGCCAAAGGAGGAGGAGAAAGAGAAGCAGUGUGUUUGGGGACUGGAGAUGAUAGCGUGGGAGAAGGUGAAGGCUUGUUGUUCAGUGGGACCGAGGGAGAGGAGCGGGAAGGGUGAGGGGAGGGUGGAGAGGAAGUGGAAGAAGAAGAGAAGGAGUGAUACCUUAAGGGACCGGAGAGAGAUGUAUGAAGCAGGAGAGGUUGCAUUGCUGGCGUUUUGGGAGUAGGAGAGGGGAGGAAUAACAAGCUGCAGCCUACUUAUGUACAGUAUGCUGCUGCUGUGUGUGUGUGUGUGUGUGUGUGUGUGUGUGUGUGUGUGUGUGUGUGUGUGUGUGUGUGUGUGUGUGUGUGUGUGUGUGUGUGUGUGUGUGUAAAAGAGAGAGAGAAAGAGAGAGUGAUGUCUUUGGAAUGGGAUGACAAAUGUGCUAGACAUGAAAGACCAGCACACACACACCCCUUGGGGAGCUGCUUUACCUGCACACACACACGGACACACACAUACACAGCACAGACUUCAGGGGAUAAACACUCUAACACACACAUGCAUGAGUUGGUAUUUCUAUACUUGUGAGAACUACAGGCUGCAUACUGUACAAGAAGCAGACUUUGCCGCACACUGCAGUGAGUGAUUGCAUGUUGUUUUAAACCUGUGUUUUCUCUUGCAACCAGCAGGGGGCAAUUCAAUCAGUGACAAAAUCAAUUAAUUAAUCAAUCGGACUUGAUGUUUAUAGCACUUACAAUCAAAUGCAGUUUGUGGUUUAAUUUAUGCAUGCUGCACAGUGCUGUAGCAUGAUUGGUCAUUCAAAACCCCAAAUAUACAGAAACAAUCAGUCAUGAUCUAAGGUUGAAAAAUUAAUUGUGCUUUGUGGACAUUCAAAAGUUCACUCAGGUUCAGAAGUUCAAGUGCUGGUUAUAUGCAGCUUAGGGUACUCUUGGUUCUAUUUAUCCAGAAAAAAAAAACAGUGAAUCACCAAAUCACGCUUUUAUCCCCAUUUGGACUACUGCAACUCUUGGUACAAGUCUUAACCAGCAGAGUUUGCGAAGUUACAGCUCGCCUCAUUACUAAAACCAAAAAGGGAGAUCAUACAACUCUUAAUAUAGCUUCACUUCAUUGGCUGUCAGUAGGGUUUAGAACUGAUUUUAGGUUUUAUUGUUAACCUUAAAAGUAUGCUCUGGUCUUACACUAAAGUUCAUUUCUAUUCCCCUCACUCCAUAUGUGUUGGGUUGUAACCUAAGUCCUCAGCCAAGGCUCUGCCCACAGUCCAGGCUAAGAUCCAAAUGUGGCCGGGCCUCUUCUGUCUGAGCCCCUGCUCUCUGGAACAACUUCCCUGAUCAGAAUAGAAGCCUGUUUAUCAUCUUUAAAGUCUCUUUUAAAAAUACAUUUUUACAGAUGUGCUUUUACAGGAGGUGUCAUCUCAGUAUGUUUUAAUCUUUCGUACGCUGCUUUUAUUCCAACCCUAACUGGUAUCACCUGCAACAUCUUUAAUCUUUUAAUUAUUUUAAUUUUGUUUGUAUACAUUAUGUGUGUGUAAACAUGUAUAUAAUAAUAAUAUUUUGUGUGUUUGUAUUUAUAUACACAACCCAUCUUUUUAGGCUGCUUUAUGCUGGUCCAUGGUUUUUGUUGCCUUUUUGUUUCAAAUUGUUUCCCUUUCUUUUCUGCCAUUAUUUUUUCUCUUACUUUAUUAUUUAUUUAUCAUUAUCUCUGUAUCUGUUUUCAUAUCUCUGAUGUUGUAGAAUCACCACCUGUUUAAACUUCCAAAUAUUAAGUAAUUGUAUUCCACCUCUUUUAUGUGAGUCUUAAUUAUUAUUUUAUUAUUAUUAUUAUUAUAAUUAUUAUUCACCUCAACUUCAUUGUUAUGAAUGCUAUCACUGCUAUGCUAUUACUAUAGACCAGCCGACUUGAAUUUAUCAUAGAUCAAACUAAGAUCUGUCUGUUAUCAUUAUCAUGCUGUUCCUGUUAAUAGUAGACAUACUUGUUCCAUCAUCUCUGGCACUGUGAGCAUACAGCUGAAUGUACUAUUGUUGCUGUUGUUGUUUGUUUCCAUCCAUCUCUCUCUUUCUCCUUCUUGAUCCGAUCUUAAAAGAUGGGGCCCCUAUCUUGAUGUUGGGUCUUUGUAAAUGUCAUGAACAGUAUGCUGGACCAGCUGUUUUGUUUAGUAUCUUGAGAUUACGUUUUCUAAGAACUCAGCAUGUUAAAAAAAACAUACUUCACCUUUUCUUUAAAUGUAUUUGAAUUGAAAAACUGUGAAGUUAAAGGGAUAUUCCAGCAUUUAAUUAAGUUAGGGUCAAACACACCAUUACACCGAGUUAGACACCCCCUCGAGAGAUGAAUGUUGCUGACUGCUUGCUUCUCUAGUUAUACCAACUUUAGUAACGACCGCACGAUAGCAAUACACAGCGGUCUACGUCUCCACAUGCAAACCUCAACCAAAAAGCCACUCUAUGUCAUGUCUAUGGUUUAAUUAAGUCAAUUUAUUUAACCUUUCUCAAGUUUCUUGUUAUGUCCUUUCUGUUUUAUUUUGAAACUUACCUGUCUCUUGUUUCAGGUCUCUUGACGUCCUGCCCUUGUCUGUUCCCUGAUUGCCCUAAUCUGGUCCACCUGUGUCUCGUUAUCUCCACUCCCUGUGUGAACUUAAGCUCAGCCUUCUCUCCCUUCUGUGCCAGUUUGUCUUGUUCCCUUGUGUCAAACAUUCCAGCAUUUUCCGAGUGUAUGCCUACCUGUUUUUGACAGUGUUUUUUUGGUCUGAUUUUUGUCUGUAGAUUUGGAUACAUCUACCUGUGUGACUGCCCUCCUUUGUACCAAACCCUUGCCUGAUUAAAACCUACUCUGAACUUUUAUCUGGCUCCUGAGUCCUGCUUUUGGGUCCAUAUCCUGGUUCGUUGUUACACUCUAUAGCCACUAAUAAUGCUCAGAACAGCACCUAACUCAACCAACAGUACAUAAAGGGUCCCAGCCAUAGUACUUGCCACCAAACAUCUUUUUAGCUUUGCCUAAUUUCUUUAGCAAAGAGACAAAGGAAGAACUUUUAUGAUCAUUUCUUCAUGGAAAUGCAAUUAGACCGAGACACUAAGGCAGAAGAACUACCGCGUCUGCAGUGCAAAAUUAUUAAUAUGAUGAUUAUUACUUCAAGGAAAUGAUAAAGUAAUGAUCAUAUAUGUUCUUCCUUAAGCUGCGUAACCCAGCUGCAGUCGUUGAUGGACUCGUCCGAGCUCUGCUUACAAACACGCGGCUGCUGGAGGAGAGUGGGUGAGUUGUGUUCGGUCUCUUUGCUGAAAAUACCAGGCAAAGCUAAAAAGAUGUUUGAUGGCUAGUACUAUGACUGAGACCCUAUAUGUACUGUUGAUGAAGUUAGGUGCUGAUCUGAGCAUUAUUUGUGGCUAUAGAGUGGCUUUUUGAUUGAGGUUUGCACGUAGAGCCAUAGACCACUGUGUUAGUUAGUUAAACUAGAGAAGCAAGACGUCUGCAACAUUCAUCUCUCUGUGUAUUUGACCCUAACUUAAUUUUAUGCAAGUAAUGCAAUGUACAACAUGUAUAAAUGUGAAUAAAGGUAAUUUAUGCUGAGAAUUUAGAGACAAGCUGUUAUACACAUGCAAAAGAAGAGAUAAUCACUACUUUGACUCAACAUUAUCCUCGUCUGAGUAUCAACUCAGCAGCCCGUAAAGAAGACAUCACUUUUUCAAACUGCAUCAACUCUGAUGUCUAAAACUAAAAACUCCGCUCUCAGAGUUACACCUGCAUGCUCCACAUAGACACUCAAACAUAGCUACAUCACACAUACUCAUGCACAUUUACACACAAACACACACACAAGCACACACACAGGCAUGCACUUAUGUAAAUUUAAAAGCAGCACAAGAACAAAGCCAUGGCAUGGGUAUAAACAAGGGGGCAUACAUAAACAUUACAUGUACAUGCAUUAUGCAGACACGUGCACACACCCCGCUCUGAUAGACACUUAAACACACACACACAUACACACCAUUUACCUCAUUCAUAGAGGUAAGAGCACGCAUCAUUUCCCCCCUCACUCUCUUUCUCCCUCUCUUUAGUCCCCAAAUCCAUGGCAUAUGACCUUCUGUGGGACAGAUAAAGAAUGUGCUUAUCAGUCAUGCAAAUGAGGCUGAAUUCAUUUUCCACAACAGAUGGCCCCAUAGAUAAUGAUGAUGGAGGAGAGAAAAUUAAAUGUCUCUUGCUCGGUGACCAUGGCAACCGUGCCUCUGCGGCGUAAUAUCAAUAAUAAGUGCACCGCAUAAUAAGGUUGUCAGUCCUGUGAAUCAAAACCUUCCCUGAUGGGAUAGGGCAAGGGGGGUGAAGUCCUCCGAAAGUUUGGUUGAGUCUGUAGGGCAAAGUGGACCGUCCAAUCAGGGUUUGCAGUUUGAUGUCAAAGAAGCUUGGUCAUUUAACAGACUGACUUUAAUGAACACUUGGUUAAGUAACACCUAAGGGUGUAUGUAUCAGCUCUUACAUGAGGUUUAUGAAGCUAUAUGUCAUUGCAUGACAGUGUUAACCUCUGGAUUUUAACUGGUCAGUACUCCAUAGCAACAGUCUGUUAGGUCUUGAUAGUGCCCUUUUGCAGACUUUUUGAUCCAAAACGUCAAAUCAACUCAAACUGCAAAAAAAGGUCCAGCAUGUUUCACCUUGCCUGUUGACCCUGUGGCAAAAUUUUCUUUUAACAUUCAACAUUGGACAAAAAAAGCAUGAAUUCCUUAGGGCAGGUUUGAGAGUGCCUCAAAGUCAGGUUUCCUUAUUCUUGGGGUUAGGUGUAUGAGGAAAAGAGCAGACAUGUUCACUGUAUAAAUAUUUACAUUUUUUUUUUCCUUUUAUUUAACCAGGUCAGUCUUAUUGAGAUUAAAAAUCUCUUGUCAAUCUCUUUUUUGACAGGGCCAAAAAAUAGCAAAACACAAAGAGACACACAGGGAACCUGAGUGUGUUUCACAAACCAUAAAAUUUACAACAAAAAGAAAAACUUUUCAAUCCAGUUGUGCUAUCAGGUAAGCUAAACACAAUGUAUGAAAACAACCCUGCUUCAAAGUCUUUCAUUUUAGAUUUAAAGUUUUUCGAAGGAGUUUGAAAUGUAUGUUUUAUUAAUGAAUUGUGUGUUCUAUUUUGCAUAUUGUAUAUUAAACCCCUUCAAUUUGUUAAUUGAUGUUCCCAGGGGAGGGCCUAAGGGGUAUUUAAAGAGUGCUUUGCUCACUCUGAGGGGAGCUCUUGGCCUAGACGCAUCGUGGGUUAUAAGUGAAAAAGCUUAAGUCCUUCUGAAAGCCUGCUGUAAAUACGUCAUUUAUUUGCCCAGUUUUUGUUUGUUUUUUGCCACUUGCUGUUUUUGGGGAGUUGGUUUGAAUAAAAACCACACUUGAGUUCAACUGUGCCAUAAUUUUUUGUCCCGAACUAACGUGUGACAUUUGAUGUCAGAAGUGGGAUGGCCAGUUGACUAGGGCACACCCAUUUCUUAAGAGGGCGUAAAGGCCUGCGCUCACAAAGGAAGGAAGCAGCUCAGGAUAAAGGGGGUGCUGUUGCUCCAGCCCUGCAGGCAGCCCCUGGAGCUCCAAGUGCAGGAGAGGAGCUGAUGAUGUUUAUGAGGACCUUCCUGAAGGGACAGCAGAGGAGAGAGGAGGGGUUUCUGUGUGGCCAAGCUCAGAGGACUCUGGGCUUUGUUGACAGCUCCACAACUGGGUCAGCAGAUGGUUGAGCGGAGGCCCAGCCCAGCCCCAGCGAGAGCCGCAUUACCAUCUGAGGGGUCGAUGAUGAUCCCUAGGCUGGAGUUGCCCCCACCAGCUCCUUGACAGUGUUGCAGUUCACUGUUGGAGGCACCAAGGGACAGUGUGAGCAGCAGAGCAGAACCUCUAGGCCGGAGGGCAGACCCUAUGGCGACCCCAAGAUUCCUCAGUUUCUGGCCAAAGAGGACAAUGAAAUCACCUCCUCCACUUUGAGCGGAUUGCCAGAGUAUGGGGUUGGCCAGAUGGGGAGUGGGCAUGUCGCCUGGUACUUCCUCUCACUGGGAAGGCACUAGAGGCCUAGAUGGCUAUGGAUGAGGAGAGGGCUCACCCAUACCCAGACCUGGAGGUGGCGCUCCUGACGAAGUUUGAUGUCUCUCCAAAGACGUAUAGUCAGAGGAGGUUCAUUCCCCAAUUCACCACCAUUGCCGCUCCUCUGACUGCCUUGACAGAGGAGAACCACUGAAACUCUGUUGCAAGGAAUGAGGACUGCGAGACCGCCUUCCAGACCCCAAGACCUGCCUGUGCUCCUCGCCAGGGCUGAGGUGUCCCAACUUGAGCUAGCGGUUCCCAGUCCAGACAGGUGCCUCUGUAGUAGGGCUGGGGGCAGUCCUGGCUCAAGGGGAUCCUGGUCAAGAAUGACCUGUGCUUUACCUGAGCCUUAAGUUGCUGCUAUGGAAGACCAGGUAAUCCACUGUGGAGAAGGAGGGCUUAGCCAACAAAUGGGCCAUGGAAAGCUUGAGGUACUACCUGCUGGGGAAGGGAGUUAGGGUUAGAGUUUGACUUAGAGACCGACCAUCGCGCUCUGACCUGGAUGAACUCCAUCAAACACCACAACAGCCAUCUUACCCACUGGUUCCUCUCCCUCCAGUCAUUCCAGUUCCAGAUCCGACAUCAGGCAGGCAAAACCAAUAUUGUAGCAGAUUGUCUUUACCGCACAAGGGCAACCACAGGGAGGAGGGGGAUAAUGUGACAGAGUGCCGUUAAAUGCCCCUUCUUUUCUGUAUUGCCUUAAAAAAGUCUUAGGUGUGUGAUGAAUGCCAUCCAGUAUUGCAAACGUCAACAGCCUUCAAUAGAAAACGACAGUGUCAUUAGCGUAAUAAUGGACAUUGUACUUAAUAUAUUGUAUUAUAUAUUAUUAAUAUUGACAGUAAACAAAAGGACACCUAUUACAGAGCCCUGUGGCACACCUUUGUGGAAAUGAUAUUAAAGCACUGUUCACAGUAAAGAUGGUUUCAAGAGGCAGUAAAGGUAUAUUUCUUUCUUUUCUUUCUUUUCUCUUUCUUUAAAUUUAUGGUAUGGUUAAAAGCUGAAUUCAUAUCCCAUCUAAAUACCUGUAAAAUUAGCUAACCUGUAAAAUUUAUCCAAUUUCAGGCAAGCCUAGAAUGGGACUUUGUUGCAGAGACACUCGAGCUUCCUUUGUUUGGUACCACCGUUUUUGUGAUUACAGAGCUGAUUUAUUUGCUCCAUUAUUUGAUUUGGAGCCACAGCCACACUGGUCUUGAUAAAAACCCUGAUUAUUGCCCGACUAUGGGCCUGGGCUGGGGAAUUGAACUCUCAUUGCUCAGAAUUAAGAGAGUAAAAAUGAAGUGUUCAGAAGAUGCAGAAAGAUUGAGAGAUGUGCAGAAGCAGGAUGAUUUUUUUCCCUCCGUAAACUGACCUUGGGGAGUGUUUUCAACAUCAUCUUUCCCUGUAUUGACUGUCAUCUCAAUCACACAUGGCCGAGUACUCGUGCCUUCCUGUGCUUCAGUAACAACCUGUUCAAAGUAAAAACUCCUCACAGUUGUUCUAUUUCAUGGACUACACCAAGUGCAUCUUUUUUCCUUCUAUUUGAACACACACUCACAAACUUACACUCCAUCAAUGACCCGCUCAGCUGCCUGUCACUGCAGGAUGACUGUAACUUCAUCUCCUAAACCUGAUUAAGUAUGCUAAUAAAAGCUUCAGCACCUUGAUAUAUAAUUUAUCAAUAAAAUGCCUCCCUUUAGAGAUUUGGCACUGCUGACUCUCUGCUGCCUGACCUGAAAUUUGUGCUCACUGAAUAGGACUUCACAGUAGUUUCACCACAAUUUAUUAUAAGUCUUUCGACCUAAAGAAAACAGACACAAGUGAGAGUACUCGUUUACUUGAUUUGGUUAAGACUGGCACCCUAUCCUUGCCAUUGGAUUUGGCCAACCUUUCCCCACUGUACUUAUUAUCACUAUUAUUGUUUACAAAUCCCAAUUUGAAGUUGGGUCAUUGUGUAAAAUAUAUAUAAAAACAGUAUAUAAUGAUUUGCACAUUCGUUUCCUUCUAUAUUCAAUUGAAUGCACUACAAAGACAAGAUAUUUAAUGUUGGGACAGGCCGUAAACAUAAAUAAUCCUGCUGUCAAAAUGAGCAUUUGAACAUGGCCUCUAAUGGGAUUUCCUUAUCUUUUGGGCCAGCCUCUAGUGCACACUCCUGGAACUGCUUCUUAAUACUUGUUAAUGUCUCUGAUCUUGGACCCUUUUUAUACUCACUUCUCUUUAGGAAACCUUUUGGAGAAGUCAUCAGUGAUAAACACACCACAAGAGGAUCCGAUCUGCACCAAAGGACACAGCAGGUUUCUUAAUAAAGCCUCCAGUCAUGGCAUUUUGAGGAAGUGUGGCUCUGAUUAUCAUGCACAACAAACUUCUGAGCUAAUGAGUCACUAUAUCUGCCAUUACACACCCACCUCAAACUUUAAUAGAUCCUCAAGGCUGGAGGCUUUUGUCUUCUUCCAAACUUAAAUCAGGAUGACUCAUGCUAUGGUUUUCAUUCCUCAGGGCUUUAUGUCUCAUGCUCCUUCAAUCAGUUUUAUAACCCUGCACAGUGGUGUCAUGAACAAAGGUUUUUUUGUGUGGAACAAAUAAAAAUCUGCUCCAAAAUGGAAACAAAUGGAUCCUGAACAAGGAUCAUUUGUUUUUCCGGAGAUUUUAUUCCUCUGUCUGCAAAGAUUUUAAUUCUCAGGAGCAAGAUGUGCCUUUCCAAACUGGGAUCCUAAAUAUUUAAGAGAUUUAAAAUUCUAAUCCCACAUCAGACAGUGUUCAUUUGAAUACCUUUGAUAACUAGUAUGAGGGGUAGACUAGUUAGCACUGAUUGUGUCUGCCAUCAGCUGGAGUCCAGUUAGGAGCCAAAGAAGCCUGACCCGUCCCAACUGGUCCAUGCCAAAGACAUAAGAUCAUAUCCAAUAUGAAUUUAUCAUCCAUAAUUUGACAUGCAUCACUGCAAUUCCAUUUACAACAUACGAGAGAAGACACAUGACAAACACAUGACAAAACAACAUUUCAAACAGCAUAUUCUGAGGCCUCAAGUGUACUUUUAAUUGAGGAUUCAGCUCCAUAUUUAACUUCAUAAUUGACUGGAGUACAAACAAGUGCUUUAGCCUGACUUUGUAAAAAUGAGGCACCUGAAUCUCAGAUUUGAUGGUAACAAUUCAUACUCACAGAGUAUGAUCACAGAAGUAAAAUACUAAACAAGACUUUGGGCUCUAUUUUCGUGUCCACCGGUGAGGGUGGCGGACCCCGCGCAGUGGUAUUUUCAUCUGGCGGAGCCCGGCAUACAGCCAGCAUCCUCUCUCUUUCCUCCCUACGACUUAUGCCGCUGGGAGGAGCUGAGUUAGGGAGGGGGAAUACUUAUGCUGGGCUGCGUCACUCAUCAAAAUACCAAAUUGUGCUUGGGAACGCCUUGUUGGCUUGGCGGACCUGACUUACGCCGCGCAUGCGGCGCGUCGCCAGCAAGGCAGGAAAAUACAGCCCUUUGUCUACUUGCAGGAGUAGCACUUUAUAUUUGAUGCAGGCUGCUACUGGAAAUUAGUGGAGGGAGGUGGACUGCAGUGACAUGUGUUGCUUUGGGCGGGCGGCUGUAUUUCGGAUCAUCUGCAGAGGUUUGAUGCAGGGAGUCCUGCCAGUAAGGAGUUGCAGUAGUCAAUGGGUAAUAUUACAAGAGCCUGUACCAGGAGCUGUGUUGUGUGCUCUGUCAGGUAGGGUCUGAUCCUCCUGGUGUUGUAAAGGGUGAAACAGCAGGACCAAGCAUCCGAGGCAACAAGAACCUUAAAGGUUUGCUGGUCAUCAAUCAUGAGACUUAGAUUCUGAGUAGACUUAAUGAGCACAAGUUUAUUUAAUCCAAGCUGGAUCUUGAUCUGUGGGUGUAGAGAGGGACUGGCUGGAAUGUGAAGAAGCUCAGUUUUGGACAGGUUGAGCCUCAGGUGAUUCCUUCAUUCCUUUAGAAAUAUCACUGAGGCAUGAUGAGAUUUAGACAGAGACUGUUGGAAUGACAGGAAGAAACAUCAUGAGAAAUACACUACAGGCCAAAACUUUGGAAGCAAGGCCAUUACAGGCCAAACAAUUGGGAGUAACUUCAAGUUUUUGUUCAUAUUGCUUUUUUUUUUUAAUCCAGCAUGAGUUUUAUGUAUUUUGGGAUGUAUUUACUCCAUGAUCAGAUGUUGCUUUCAUGGAAAUGCACCAUUUUACUCCAUCUACCUUUAGAUAUACAUUGAUGUUAGCAGACCAUUGCUAAAUUUAUGUCAGCAAAAGAUAAUAAGGGCUUAGUUUUAGGGUUGAAAACAUUUGCAAGAGUCACAACUUCAGUGCAAAAGCAAAAAAACAAAUCACUGUUGGAUUAUUCACUUCAACUUUUUGGCUUUUGAGAGUCUGCAUACAAAUCCUAAUAAAUCUCAACUGCGUUCAAACUACCGCAAAAAUGGCUAGAAAGAAGCAACCGAGUAAAGAAACAAAAGUACAGAUUUGUACAUUGAGGAAAGAAGGAUAUACAGAAAGAGAAAUUGCAAAAUGCCUAAAGGAGUCCACUACACUCUGAAGAGACUAGAGGAACCUGGAAGUUAUGAUGAUAGAAAAAGACCUGGAUGAAAGAGAGUUACUACAAAAGCAGAGGAUAAACAUAGCAUUGUCACCAGUAAGAGAGAUCGGCGAAAGACAGCACCAAAAAUAAGGGAGGAACUCAACAUGACAAGGUCGAAACCGAUAUCUCUGACAACUGAUAAAGAUAAGAAAAAGAGAUAUGAGUGGGCAAAAGCUCACAAAAACUGGACUUGUGAUGACUAGUAACAAGUUUGCACUGUUUGGUUCAAAACACAGAGUCUAUGUCCACAGACAAACUGGUGAACAUCUGAAAACAACAUGUGUUACACCCACAAUUCAGCAUGGAGGUAGUAGUUCCAUGGUAUGGGGAUGUUUUGCAGGUGAUGGAGCAGGCGAUUUGUUUGAAGUAAAGGGUAUCAUGAAGAAGGAACAGUACCACUCCAUCCUCCACCAUGCUGUAUAUUUGUUUGUUUUAUAGCUCAUAAAGAAGCAUUAACAGAAAUAUAAGGAUGCUUAUAAACUGAUUUACCUUGUUUUAUUCAGUGUGUCUCUUUCAGUCAGGAUCACUUUGUCAAAAUUCAGCUUUAUUGUGCAAAGUUAAAUUUGGCGGCAUAGUUCUGUUCCGGGUCCCUGCCCUUCCAUGCGCUUGUAUGAAAGCCAGAGGCAGUGAAGGGACCCUUCCUGCCCUUCACUAACCAUCAUGAAAAGGCGAUAGCAGGGAGCGUAAGCAAGGUUCUGUUCAGGACUCCCCGCUUUCCACACAAGCAUGCGUGAAAGGCCAGUGGCAGGAAGAGCAUAUUCCCUCCCUUCAUGAGGCAGCAUGAAGGCAGAAACAUCAAGGGGUAGAGUAGCGAUGAACAGGACCCCCCCAGAACAAGAGCGCUUCAAGAGUAGUGGAGCGGUUUAGCUGGCACAAGGGUGGAGCUGGGGUGGAGGUGGGUCGCUGGUUGCCUGUCAAAGCAGAGAUAGAGGCUUGAUUAGGGCAGUUUUAAAUAGGGUACUCUGAAGGCAUAGGACCAAUAGAAGCUUAGAGGAAAUCAGCUUGGCCAUCAGCUGAUUGAGGUGGCUACCUUUAAUUGGCUGCGGAUAAGUGCUUGAUGUCUGUGAGAUUUUGAGUUUAUGCAGCAGUUGGGUUUCCUGUGUUCCUCUCCUCUGUGUGUUCUCCCUCUCUCUCUCUCUCUCUCUCUCUCUGCAGCGCUGAUGGCACGGCAGGAGGUGGGGCUGGCCCGGACUGAUUCCACGCACCUGAUUCUCGUUGUUGUCAAUUACCUGGCUUUAUAUGCCGGCUCCUCUGUUGACUCAGUGCCAGAUGAUUUCUCAGUCAUGCAACACGUGUCUUGCCACCCGGAGCUCCCUGAUCUCCCACCCGUGUAGCCAGCCUGCCACUCAGUAUUUGUUGAUGAGUUCUUUUGUUACUCCCAGGGAAUUUUUUCCCUUGAGCAAAGGUGAUUUUGUGUUCAUGUUUUUUACUCUAGUUGAAAAGAUUUUUUGGUUUACUAUUUCUGUUGUACUUUGUCUUUUACCUCCUUGGUUGUUACUUGCCCCACGUGGCACUAUCAUUUGAACUUUGUUUUUUUCUCCAGCUAUUUGCCUUGCUGCAAUGAAUCCUGUCUAACUCUGGUUUUGUGUUUUUUUUAGUGGCAGUCCAAGCUGCCUUUUCCCAGAAACUGCGAUUUUCUCUUGUUCACUUUGUUCUAUUGUUUGUUGUUAAUAAAUUUGGGCAUUUGCCUCUGCAUUUUUGGAUCCUGGCCUUUGUUUGAAUCCUAACAGAAUCAUCUGGCCAGAAGAGUAUGGAUCCAGCAGAGGCUGAACAUUUAAGACACGCUGUAUUCACUCAAGGCGUCUUAGUGGGCAAACACGAGUCCACCCUCAUGCAAAUCAUGGAACAUUUGCAACAGCUCACGGCCAGUGUCUCCUAGUUAAGAAGCGAGCUGGGGACCAUGCGGGUUCAACCUCCUCACUCUGCUUCUGCACAGCCUCCUCCAGUGCCUCCACCCACCGAGCCAUCUGCUACCUCUCCCCCGUCAGCUAGGAAACCUUUUAUUCCCAUCCCUCCCAGAUACUCCGGGGAUCUAGGUACAUGCUCAGAGUUCUUGUUACAGUGCUUCUUGGAACGCUACCACACAAUCAAAGAUAGCAUUUAUCAUGAGUCUGUUGUCGGGUCAGGCUGCUUCCUGGGCCCUAGCUGUAACUACCGGGGGUUUGGAAAUGUUGACUGACUACAUUCAAUUCACAGGGGAAAUGAAACGAGUCUUUGAUCACCCAGUACAGGGUAAAGAAGCUACGGGUCAACUAUUAGACCUACGGCAGGGCAGUUUAGUGGUCUCCCAGUACGCCAUAAACUUCCGCAUUCUGGCUGCCAGCAGUGGGUUUGGGGACACUGCUCUCCGAGACAUUUUUCGUAAAGGGUUAACAGGAGAAUUAAAAGACAAGAUGGCAGUGCGGGAGGAGAGCUCCUCCCUAAACGAGCUAAUAGAGCUGAGCAUACACAUAGACAAAAGACUCAGAGAGAGAUGGAGGUAGAGGAGAGUGAAUCAGACUCGUCGUACACCAGCUUCCAGUGUCUGCAGCCCUGCAAGAAAAGCUCUGCCUCGACUGCGGCUGCAGAGGUCACUACCUCGCUACCUGUACAGAGGUGCCAAAAGGCAGGGCUCACCAAUAGGUCGGGGGGCACUGGUGAGCCGUAUCUCUUACUCCUCUUACUCCCAAGUCCGUGUUCAAGGUAUGCUACACGAUACCCACCUAUCACACGAGCUGCAGGUUCUCAUUGACUCGGGGGCAGAGGAUAACUUUACAGAUGAAGCCUAUGUUAAAGCAAAUCACCUGCCUGUUAGCUAUCUGACUUCUCCAAAAAAAGCUCUAGCCAUAGAUGGACGACUCAUAAACACUGUUACCCACAGAACCGCUCCUUUAAAGCUGACUCUCUCGGAAAAUAAUCACGAACAUCUAGUGUUCUUUGUCAUUACCUCCCCACUCACUCCUGUUAUUUUGGGUCUCCCGUGGUUACAACGUCACAACCCCCAUAUAGACUGGUCCACCUCUACCAUUCGCAGAUGGAGCACUUACUGUCACACCCACUGUCUCCAUUCAGCGAUUCCAGCCAGAUGUCCUCACUCCUCACACCCACCCGAGACUAUAGACCUGAGUAAUAUCCCUUGGGAUUAUCACGACCUACAAGAGGUAUUCAGUAAAGACACGGCCUGUUCACUCCCUCCUCACUGCCCUUACGACUGUGGGAUUGAUUUACUUCCCGGGGCUCCCCUUCCCACACGUAAACUGUACAACCUGAGUAAACUCGAAAAAGAAGCCAUGGCAACCUACAUCACAGAGUCGGUGGCAGCAGGCCUCAUAAGGCCCUCACCCUCGCCGGUAGGGGCAGGCUUUUUUUUCGUCGAAAAGAAGGAUGGUUCUUUGCACUCCUGUGUUGAUUACACAGAGUUAAAUGACAUUACCGUUAAAAAAAAGUACCCACUGCCACUGCUUGACUCUGCAGUGGAAAGUGGAGCAGGACGUCCAGGCUGCACUCAGGGACCACCCGGCUCCAGAGGGAGUACCUGAGGGGCAGCUGUUCAUCCCCGCCUGCAGCCAAAUCUGCAGUGCUCCUGUGGGGGCACGCCUCCCAGCUCGACUACCAUCCCUGGGUUCAGCGGAUCCUUUUGCUGGUGCAACAACGCUUCUGGUGGCCUUCAAUGACAGCGGACGUUUGCACCUUCAUUGCCGCUUGCUAGGUCUGUGCCCGCAGCAUAUCCUCUCACCAGGCCCCUGCGGGGCUCCUGCAUCCUCUCCCUGUGCCCUCAUGACCCUGGUCUCACCAGGGUCUCUCCGAAGGCAACGAUACCAUACUCACCAUCGUGGAUCGCUUCUCCAAGGCGGCUCAUUUCUUCCCACUCUCUAAACUCCCCACCGCCUUAGAGACUGCCAACCUGCAUGUAUUUAGACUUCACGGAAUUCCUUCAGAAUUGUCGGAAUUGCCUCAGACCGGGGGCCCCCAGUUUGCCUCCCAGGUUUGGAAGGCUCUCUGUAGGGUCCUGGGGGCUACAGCCAGCCUCUCCACCGGGUACCACCUGCAGUCGAAUGACCAGACCGAGCAGGCGAAACAGGAUUUGGAGUCCGCCCUGCACUGCGUCGCCUCCCGCCUACCCGCUGCGUGGUCUACCCAUCUUCCCUGGGUGGAGUAUGCCCACAACAGCCUGGUCAAUUCUGCUAUGGGGAUGUUCCCUUUCAUGAUUAACUGUGGCUUCCAACCCCCCCUGUUCCCGAACCAGGAAUCGGAUGCCGCAGUUCCCUCAAUACAGGCACAGUUCCGGAAGAUAAGGCAGGAAUCCUGGAAGCUGGACCCAGGCUACACUGGUCCCUACGUCAUUAAGAAGAGCAUCAAUCCGAGCGCCAUCAAGCUCUACCUCCCCAUGUCCCUCAGGGUGCACCCCUUUCCAUGUCCCUUUCCAUGUCUCCCUCCUUAAGCCUGUCAUCAACAGCCCCCUUCAGCCCCCAUCACUACCGCCUCCUCCUCCUCAACUGAUUGACAACCACCCCGCCUACACAGUUAACAGGAUUCUUGACAUCCGCAGGAGAGGCCGGGGGUUUCAAUACUUGGUUGACUGGGAGGGGUAUGGUCCCGAGGAGCGCUCCUGGAUCUCGCGUUCCUUCAUCCUUGACCCACAGCUGCUGCAAGAUUUCUAUGCCACCCCCCCAGGUAAACCAAGUAGAAUGCCAAGAGGCAUUCCUUGAAGGAGGGUACUGUGAGGUUUUGAAUUUAUGCAGCAGUUGGGUUUCCUGUGUUCCUCUCCUCUGUGUGUUCUCCCUCUCUACAGCACUGGAGGCACGGUGUGAGGCAGGGCUGGCCCGGACUGAUUCCACGCACCUGAUUCUCGUUGUUGUCAACUACCUGGCUUUAUAUGCCGGCUCCUCUGUCGACUCAGUGCUGGAUGAUUUCUCAGUCAUGCAACACGUGUCUUGCCACCCUGAGCUCCCUGAUCUCCCGCCCGUGUAGCCAGCCUGCCACUCAGUAUUUGUAAAUGAGUUCUUUUUGUUACUCCUUGUUCAUGUUUUUUCCUCUAGUUGAGAAGAUUUUUUGGUUUACUAUUUCUGUUGUACUUUGUCUUUUACCUCCUUGGUUGUUACCUGCCCAUGUGGCACUAUCAUUUGAACUUUGUUUUUUCUCCAGCUAUUUGCCUUGCUGCAGUGAUUCCUGUCUAACUCUGGUUUUGUGUUUUUUUAAUUGGCAGUCCAAGCUGACCGUGCCUUUUUCAGGAAACAGUGAUUUUCUGUUGUUCACUUUGUUCUAUUGUUUGUUGUUAAUAAAUUUGGGCAUUUGCCUCUGCAUUUUUGGAUCCUGGCCUUUGUUCGACAAUGCCGUGACCUGCCAGAACUAAUGCCAUGCUUCAUUUCAGUCGGGACUUUGUCAAAAUUCAGCUUUAUUGUGCAAAGUUAAAUUUGGCGGCAUAGUUCUGUUUUGGGUCCCUGCCCUUCCAUGCACUUGCAUGGAAGCCAGAGGCAGGAAGAGCCCCUUCCUGCCCUUCACGAGCCAUCAUGAAAAGGCAAUAGCGGGAACGCAUGCAAGGUUCUGUUUGGGGCUCCCUGUUCUCCACACAAGCAUGCAUGAAAGGCCAGCGGCAGGAAGAGCACCUUCCCGCCCUUCAUGAGGCAUCAUGCAGGCAUAAACAACGGGGGGCAGAGCAGCGAUGAAGAGAACCCCCCCAAAACGACCAUGCCAGGCAGAGUAGGCAGGAGAAGCAAUUUAAUUAAGGCGUAAUUUUGACAUUUGCCAAUAGGAUGCGUGGAGGGCGAUCAGCCAAACUGUCAUCUGACUGAGGGAUGGCUUAAGAUCAGCUGACUGUAACCUUUAGCUCGACUGUAACCUUUGUGUCCUGCCUGAACUAUGGCUAUGCUUCAUUUCAGUCUGGACUACUUUAGUAAAAAUUUAUUAUUUAUUACGUGCAAACAUUUUUACAUUGGUGGUAUGGCUCUGUUCUGAGUUCCCUGCUCUUUUUGCAUGGAAUGCCACUGCUAUGAGAGGGGAUGCCCUCCCCUCCCUUUCAUGUGUAUUUAUGAAAAGCCUAGGCAGAAAAAGUAGCAGCGAAUAAAUAAAAUUAAGAUAAAAUAAGAUCCCCCUAAACAACCAUACCAGACAACCAGGGAGAGCAGCGGCAAAUAAAUCAAAAGUCCCCCAGAACAACCAUACCAAGCAACCCUCCCCAGCUUUCAUGAGCUACAUAAAAGCACCUACAGGGGAGGGAGGGCAGCCAGCAGCGAGAACCUAUGUAGCAACCUACCCACCUCCAAAGCUUGCAUAGUAUUGGUUACCCUUAAAACAUGAUCAUGGAUCAGGAUUAAUUUAAUCCAUCCACAUAUUUAUAAUUGGGAAUAUGCCUAAGAAUACAAUAGAUAUGGGACAGAAUUAUUGAGCAGC